rnacentral:rRNA from 1 species
CAUGGCUCAGAUUGAACGCUAGCGGCAGGCCUAACACAUGCAAGUCGAGGGAGAGGUUAUCUUCGGGUAACCAAAACCGGCGCACGGGUGCGUAACGCGUAUACAAUCUGCCUUUCACAUAGGGAUAGCCCGAAGACAUUUGGAUUAAUACCUAAUGGUAUAUAAGAGCGGCAUCGCUUUUAUAUUAAAGCUACGGUGUUGAACGAUGAGUAUGCGUUCUAUUAGCUAGUUGGAGAGGUAACGGCUCCCCAAGGCUACGAUAGAUAGGGGUUCUGAGAGGGAGAUCCCCCACACUGGUACUGAGAUACGGACCAGACUCCUACGG